rnacentral:rRNA from 1 species
ACUCCUACGGGAGGCAGCAGUGGGGAAUAUUGCACAAUGGGCGCAGCUGACUGCAGCCAUGCCGCGCUGUGUGAAGAAGGCCAAUUCGGGCUUGGUUAAGACACUUUUCAGUCGUGAGGAAGGUAGUGUAGUUAAUAGCUGCAUUAUUUGACGUUAGCGACAGAAGAAGCACCGGCUAACUCCGUGCCAGCAGCCGCGGUAAUACGGAGGGUGCGAGCGUUAAUCGGAAUUACUGGGCGUAAAGCGCAUGCAGGUGGUUUGUUAAGUCAGAUGUGAAAGCCCGGGGCUCAACCUCGGAAUUGCAUUUGAAACUGGCAGACUAGAGUACUGUAGAGGGGGGUAGAAUUUCAGGUGUAGCGGUGAAAUGCGUAGAGAUCUGAAGGAAUACCGGUGGCGAAGGCGGCCCCCUGGACAGAUACUGACACUGCUGCCUCCCGUAGGAGUACUGUCAU